rnacentral:rRNA from 1 species
AUUGAACGCUGGCGGCAGGCCUAACACAUGCAAGUCGAACGGUAACAGGAAACAGCUUGCUGUUUCGCUGACGAGUGGCGGACGGGUGAGUAAUGUCUGGGAAACUGCCUGAUGGAGGGGGAUAACUACUGGAAACGGUAGCUAAUACCGCAUAACGUCGCAAGACCAAAGAGGGGGACCUUCGGGCCUCUUGCCAUCGGAUGUGCCCAGAUGGGAUUAGCUAGUAGGUGGGGUAACGGCUCACCUAGGACACGAUCCCUAGCUGGUCUGAGGGCAUGACAACCCACAAGCGAACUAAGAAACGGCCCAGACAUCUACGGGAGGCAGCAGUGGGAAAUAUUGCACAAUGGGGGCAAGCCUGAGGCAGCCAUACCGCGUGUAUGAAGAAGGCCUUCGGGUUGUAAAGUACUUUCAGGGGGGAGGAAGGGAGUAAAGUUAAUACCUUUGCUCAUUGACGUUACCCGCAGAAGAAGCACCGGCUAACUCCGUGACAGCCGCCGCGUAA